AGGAAAUUAGUUUAACUAAAAUAUUUGAUUUCGGCUCAAAAGCUUAUGGUUAAAGUCCAUAAUUUACCU
rnacentral:tRNA from 1 species